AGACCCGAAACCCGGUGAUCUAGCCAUGGGCAGGUUGAAGGUUGGGUAACACUAACUGGAGGACCGAACCGACUAAUGUUGAAAAAUUAGCGGAUGACCUGUGGCUGGGGGUGAAAGGCCAAUCAAACCGGGAGAUAGCUGGUUCUCCCCGAAAGCUAUUUAGGUAGCGCCUCGUGAAUUCAUCUCCGGGGGUAGAGCACUGUUUCGGCUAGGGGGCCAUCCCGGCUUACCAACCCGAUGCAAACUGCGAAUACCGGAGAAUGUUAUCACGGGAGACACACGGCGGGUGCUAACGUCCGUCGUGAAGAGGGAAACAACCCAGACCGCCAGCUAAGGUCCCAAAGUCAUGGUUAAGUGGGAAACGAUGUGGGAAGGCCCAGACAGCCAGGAUGUUGGCUUAGAAGCAGCCAUCAUUUAAAGAAAGCGUAAUAGCUCACUGGUCGAGUCGGCCUGCGCGGAAGAUGUAACGGGGCUAAACCAUGCACCGAAGCUGCGGCAGCGACGCUUAUGCGUUGUUGGGUAGGGGAGCGUUCUGUAAGCCUGUGAAGGUGGCCU
rnacentral:rRNA from 1 species